UACGAAGGGGGCUAGCGUUGCUCGGAAUCACUGGGCGUAAAGGGUGCGUAGGCGGGUCUUUAAGUCAGGGGUGAAAUCCUGGAGCUCGACUCCAGAACUGCCUUUGAUACUGAGGAUCUUGAGUUCGGGAGAGGUGAGUGGAACUGCGAGUGUAGAGGUGAAAUUCGUAGAUAUUCGCAAGAACACCAGUGGCGAAGGCGGCUCACUGGCCCGAUACUGACGCUGAGGCACGAAAGCGUGGGGAGCAAACAGA
rnacentral:rRNA from 1 species